rnacentral:rRNA from 1 species
UAGGGAAUCUUCCGCAAUGGACGCAAGUCUGACGGAGCAACGCCGCGUGAGUGAAGAAGGAUUUCGGUUCGUAAAACUCUGUUGUUAGAGAAGAACAGCGCAUAGAGUAACUGUUAUGCGUGUGACGGUAUCUAACCAGAAAGCCACGGCUAACUACGUGCCAGCAGCCGCGGUAAUACGUAGGUGGCAAGCGUUGUCCGGAUUUAUUGGGCGUAAAGCGAGCGCAGGCGGUCAAUUAAGUCUGAUGUGAAAGCCCCCGGCUCAACCGGGGAGGGUCAUUGGAAACUGGUUGACUUGAGUGCAGAAGAGGGGAGUGGAAUUCCAUGUGUAGCGGUGAAAUGCGUAGAUAUAUGGGGGAACACCAGUGGCGAAGGCGACUCUCUGGGCUGUAACUGACGCUGAGGCUCGAAAGCGUGGGUAGCAAACAGG